UUUCUUCUUCGUGUGGCAGCAACACGCGCUUGCAUCCAGAACCUGAAGAAGAAGUUCUUCUACUGGAAGUAAGACGUGACGGAGGAAGAACAUGACCCCUCUGGAGCAAAACCUGUUGUCUGGGUUUGGGUGUCCCCUCUGCCCUAAUUUCAAGACUGCAAGUGACGUGGUGAUCGAGAGGCGCUUAAGGAACCACACAGGGUGCAGAGUUGGAGGUCACUUCCAUUGUCCUUUUUGCAUGAAGUCAGAUCAGAGGCUGAUAAAUAUUUCGUGGCAGGAUGGGAAUCAGACCUUCAGCUGUGGAAAGUGACCCAAACAAAGUAUUUCCUCUUCAUGUCAAAGCUGAGUAGAAACCAGCAGAAACCGAU